GCCUCUAUAGCUCAGUGGUAGAGCGCUUGACGUACGUUUCCAUUUCAAUAUGAAUCCCCACCAACAAUCACUAACAAUCAUCACAGUUGUAUUAUAUGACAUCAAGAGGUCCGUGGUUCAAUCCCGCGUGGAGGCA
rnacentral:tRNA from 1 species